rnacentral:rRNA from 1 species
GACGAACCGUCCGAACGUUAUUCGGAAUCACUGGGCUUACAGAGUUCGUAGGCGGUCCGGUAAGUUAGAUGUGAAAUCCCUUGGCUUAACCAAGGAACUGCGUUUGAAACUACCGGACUCGAGGGAGAUAGAGGAAAGCGGAACUGAUGGUGGAGCGGUGAAAUGCGUUGAUAUCAUCAGGAACACCGGUGGCGAAGGCGGCUUUCUGGGUCUCUUCUGACGCUGAGGAACGAAAGCUAGGGGAGCGAACGGG